GGGAACUGUGAGACAGGUGCUGCAUGGCUGUCGUCAGCUCGUGUUGUGAAAUGUUGGGUUAAGUCCCGCAACGAGCGCAACCCUUAUCCUUUGUUGCCAGCGGUCCGGCCGGGAACUCAAAGGAGACUGCCAGUGAUAAACUGGAGGAAGGUGGGGAUGACGUCAAGUCAUCAUGGCCCUUACGACCAGGGCUACACACGUGCUACAAUGGCAUAUACAAAGAGAAGCGACCUCGCGAGAGCAAGCGGACCUCAUAAAGUAUGUCGUAGUCCGGAUUGGAGUCUGCAACUCGACUCCAUGAAGGCGGAAUCGCUAGUAAUCGU
rnacentral:rRNA from 1 species